rnacentral:rRNA from 1 species
AAACGAUGCCAACCAGCGAUUAGCCUGAGUUCCUUAAAUGACUCGGCUAGCAGCUUCCGGGAAACCAAAGUGUUUCGGUUCCGGGGGAAGUAUGGUUGCAAAGCUGAAACUUAAAGGAAUUGACGGAAGGGCACCACCAGGAGUGGAGCCUGCGGCUUAAUUUGACUCAACACGGGAAAACUUACCCGGCCCGGACACUGGAAGGAUUGACAGAUUGAGAGCUCUUUCUUGAUUCAGUGGGUGGUGGUGCAUGGCCGUUCUUAGUUGGUGGAGCGAUUUGUCUGGUUAAUUCCGAUAACGAACGAGACUCUAGCCUACUAAAUAGACUGUUCAGCUUUAUAGCCGGAAUCACUGGGCAUGUAGCUCUCCGCAAGGGGGGUUGCAUGUUCGGCUCUGGUGACGUUGGCAGUGCUUCUUAGAGGGACAGGCGGCGGUUCAGCCGCACGAAACAGAGCAAUAACAGGUCUGUGAUGCCCUUAGAUGUCCGGGGCUGCACGCGCGCUACACUGAAGUGAUCAGCGUGCAAUUUACGUUUGGUGAUCUGUCAAGAUUGCCCAACCCGUUGAACCUUCUUCGUGAUUGGGAUAGGGGAUUGUAAUUAUUCCCCUUGAACGAGGAAUUCCCAGUAAGCGCAAGUCAUAAGCUUGCGUUGAUUACGUCCCUGCCCUUUGUACACACCGCCCGUCGCUACUACUGAUUGAAUGAAUUAGUGAGGUCUUCGGACUGGCCUGUGCUGGCUGUUUCGGCAGCUGCACAUGGCUCGGAGAUGCCCAAACUGUCAUUUAGAGAGUAAGUCGUACAGUUUUCGUAGUGACUGCCGAAGAUCAAGCCGAUCGCGCGCUAGUCAUUCGCUAUAUGACGUCGUCGUGGGGUGCUU